rnacentral:lncRNA from 1 species
GAAUAAUGGCAAUGGUGAAGAUGGAGAUGAUAAAACAUCAGUACUUCUUUGGGGGAAGAGUGGAGACAAAAGGCUUGUUGAGGAAGUGCUAUUUGACUAGGUUCUUGAAGAAUGAGUAGAUUUAAAGACUUGGAGAUGAUAUUUUAGUCUGAAGAAAUGGCACAGAUGAUGCCAUGAAGGUGCAGGUUGUAUAGCUUCUCAGCGUUACUGAAAUUGGAAAACAUUUCUAAAGCUUGCAGCAUGUCAAGCCCUGUGAUUUUGAAUAAAAUUGGAUUUUACAGUCUGUUGUGUGGCUUUAAUAUUUCUUAUGCUGAGAAAAUUAUAAAAAUA